rnacentral:tRNA from 1 species
ACCCGUCUAGCUCCGUCGGUAGAGCGCUGGGCUUUUAAGCCAGUGGUCGGGGGGUUCGAUCCCCACGGGGGGUG